rnacentral:rRNA from 1 species
GACGAACGCUGGCGGCGCGCUUAACACAUGCAAGUCGAACGGAAAGGCCUGCUUUCCCUUGUGGAUUGCGGGUACUCGCGUGGCGAACGGGUGAGUAACACGUGAGUGAUCUGCCCCCAACUUGGGUAUAAGCCUGGGAAACUGGGUCUAAUUCCCGAUAGGACUGCAGGGUGGUGCCUGUGGUGGAAAACGAUUUUCUAGUGGUUGGGGAUGAGCUCGCGGCCUAUCAGCUUGUUGGUGGGGUAAUGGCCUACCAAGGCGGCGACGGGUAGCCGGCCUGGGAGGGUGGACGGCCACAUUGGGACUGAGAUACGGCCCAGACUCCUACGGGAGGCAGCAGUGGGGAAUAUUGCACAAUGGGCGGAAGCCUGAUGCAGCGACGCCGCGUGGGGGAUGACGGCCUUCGGGUUGUAAACUCCUUUCGACCGCGAGGAAGCCACCUGGUUGGAAGGGUGGUGACGGUAGUGGUAGAAGAAGCACCGGCUAACUACGUG